GAUGAACGCUGGCGGCGUGCCUAAUACAUGCAAGUCGAGCGAACAGACGAGGAGCUUGCUCCUCUGACGUUAGCGGCGGACGGGUGAGUAACACGUGGAUAACCUACCUAUAAGACUGGGAUAACUUCGGGAAACCGGAGCUAAUACCGGAUAAUAUAUUGAACCGCAUGGUUCAAUAGUGAAAGACGGUUUUGCUGUCACUUAUAGAUGGAUCCGCGCUGCAUUAGUUAGUUGGUAAGGUAACGGCUUACCAAGGCGACGAUGCGUAGCCGGCCUGAGAGGAUGAUCGGCCACACUGGAACUGAGACACGGUCCAGACUCCUACGGGAGGCAGCAGUAGGGAAUCUUCCGCAAUGGGCGAAAGCCUGACGGAGCAACGCCGCGUGAGUGAUGAAGGUCUUCGGGUCGUAAAGCUCUGUUAUUAGGGAAGAACAAAUGUGGAAGAAACUAUGCACGUCUUGACGGUACCUAAUCAGAAAGCCACGGCUAACUACGUG
rnacentral:rRNA from 1 species